GUGCCUCGUCAGAUUCCACCGGCUCUUUAAAUGUGGGGCCCACCGAGGCGUCAACUUCCGACAAGAAUUUGAGGUCGUAUCCAGCACAGAAAACCCCGCCUGUCAAACACAGAGUAAGGAAGGUGAGAAACUACAUGUAAACAGUACAGAAAACCCCACCUGUCAAACACAGAGUAAGGAAGGUGAGAAACUACAUGUAAACAGUACAGAAAACCCUGCCUGUCAAACACAGAGGAAAGGAAGGUGAGAAACUACAUGUAAACAGUACAGAAAACCCCGCCUGUCAAACACAGAGUAAGGAAGGUGAGAAACUACAUGUAAACAGUACAGAAAACCCCGCCUGUCAAACACAGAGUAAGGAAGGUGAGAAACUACAUGUAAACAGCACAGAAAACCCCGCCUGUCAAACACAGAGGAAAGGAAGGUGAGAAACUACAUGUAAACAGUACAGAAAACCCCGCCUGUCGAACAGAGAGGAAAGGAAGGUGAGAAACUACAUGUAAACAGUACAGAAAACCCCACGUGUCAAACACAGAGGAAAGGAAGGUGAGAAACUACAUGUAAACAGUACAGAAAACCCCGCCUGUCAAACACAAAGUAAGGAAGGUGAGAAACUACAUGUAAACAGCACAGAAAACCCCGCCUGUCAAACACAGAGGAAAGGAAGGUGAGAAACUACAUGUAAACAGCACAGAAAACCCCGCCUGUCAAGGUGAGAAACUACAUGUAAACAGUACAGAAAACCCCGCCUGUCAAACAGAGAGGAAAGGAAGGUGAGAAACUACAUGUAAACAGUACAGAAAACCCCGCCUGUCAAACACAGAGGAAAGGAAGGUGAGAAACUACAUGUAAACAGCACAGAAAACCCCGCCUGUCAAACACAGAGGAAAGGAAGGUGAGAAACUGCAUGUAAACAGCACAGAAAACCCCGCCUGUCAAACACAGAGGAAAGGAAGGUGAGAAACUACAUGUAAACAGCACAGAAAACCACACCUGUCAAACACAGAGGAAAGGAAGGUGAGAAACUACAUGUAAACAGCACAGAAAACCCCGCCUGUCAAGGUGAGAAACUACAUGUAAACAGUACAGAAAACCCCGCCUGUCAAACAGAGAGGAAAGGAAGGUGAGAAACUACAUGUAAACAGCACAGAAAACCCCGCCUGUCGAACAGAGAGGAAAGGAAGGUGAGAAACUACAUGUAAACAGUACAGAAAACCCCGCCUGUCGAACAGAGAGGAAAGGAAGGUGAGAAACUACAUGUAAACAGCACAGAAAACCCCGCCUGUCAAACACAGAGGAAAGGAAGGUGAGAAACUACAUGUAAACAGCACAGAAAACCACACCUGUCAAACACAGAGGAAAGGAAGGUGAGAAACUACAUGUAAACAGCACAGAAAACCCCGCCUGUCAAGGUGAGAAACUACAUGUAAACAGUACAGAAAACCCCGCCUGUCAAACAGAGAGGAAAGGAAGGUGAGAAACUACAUGUAAACAGCACAGAAAACCCCGCCUGUCGAACAGAGAGGAAAGGAAGGUGAGAAACUACAUGUAAACAGUACAGAAAACCCCGCCUGUCGAACAGAGAGGAAAGGAAGGUGAGAAACUACAUGUAAACAGCACAGAAAACCCCGCCUGUCAAACACAGAGGAAAGGAAGGUGAGAAACUACAUGUAAACAGUACAGAAAACCCCGCCUGUCAAACACAGAGGAAAGGAAGGUGAGAAACUACAUGUAAACAGUACAGAAAACCCCGCCUGUCAAACACAGAGGAAAGGAAGGUGAGAAACUACAUGUAGACAGCACAGAAAACCCAGCCUGUC